GAUGAACGCUGGCGGCGUGCUUAACACAUGCAAGUCGAACGAACCUUCGGGUUAGUGGCGGACGGGUGAGUAACGCGUGAGAAUCUGCCCUCAGGAGGGGGAUAACGGUUGGAAACGGCCGCUAAUACCCCAUAUGCCGCGAGGUGAAAUGAAUUUCGCCUGAGGAUGAGCUCGCGUCUGAUUAGCUAGUUGGUGUAGGUAAUGGCUCACCAAGGCAUCGAUCAGUAGCUGGUCUGAGAGGAUGAUCAGCCACACUGGGACUGAGACACGGCCCAGACUCCUACGGGAGGCAGCAGUGGGGAAUUUUCCGCAAUGGGCGAAAGCCUGACGGAGCAACGCCGCGUGAGGGAUGAAGGCCUCUGGGCUGUAAACCUCUUUUAUCAAGGAAGAAGAUCUGACGGUACUUGAUGAAUAAGCCACGGCUAAUUCCGUGCCAGCAGA
rnacentral:rRNA from 1 species